rnacentral:rRNA from 1 species
AGAGUUUGAUCAUGGCUCAGAUUGAACGCUGGCGGCAGGCCUAACACAUGCAAGUCGAACGCGAAAGCUCUUCGGAGUGAUUAGAGUGGCGGACGGGUGAGUAAUGCUUGGGAAUCUGCCCGGUAGUGGGGGACAACCGUUGGAAACGACGGCUAAUACCGCAUACGACCUACGGGUGAAAGCAGGGGAUCUUCGGACCUUGCGCUAUCGGAUGAGCCCAAGUCGGAUUAGCUAGUUGGUGGGGUAAAGGCCUACCAAGGCGACGAUCCGUAGCUGGUUUGAGAGGAUGAUCAGCCACAUCGGGACUGAGACACGGCCCGAACUCCUACGGGAGGCAGCAGUGGGGAAUAUUGCACAAUGGGCGAAAGCCUGAUGCAGCCAUGCCGCGUGUGUGAAGAAGGCCUUCGGGUUGUAAAGCACUUUAAGCAGUGAGGAAGGUUUGUAGGUUAAUACCCUGCAAAAUUGACGUUAACUGCAGAAUAAGCACCGGCUAACUCCGUGCCAGCAGCCGCGGUAAUACGGAGGGUGCAAGCGUUAAUCGGAAUUACUGGGCGUAAAGCGCGCGUAGGCGGCUGUUCAAGCCAGAUGUGAAAUCCCAGGGCUUAACCUUGGAACUGCAUUUGGAACUGGGCAGCUAGAAUACAGCAGAGGAGUGUGGAAUUUCAGGUGUAGCGGUGAAAUGCGUAGAGAUCUGAAGGAACAUCAGUGGCGAAGGCGACACUCUGGGCUGAUAUUGACGCUGAGGUGCGAAAGCGUGGGUAGCAAACAGGAUUAGAUACCCUGGUAGUCCACGCCGUAAACGAUGUCUACUAGCCGUUGGGAUCCUUGAGGUCUUAGUGGCGCAGCUA